rnacentral:rRNA from 1 species
CCCGCUGAACUUAAGCAUAUUACUAAGCGGAGGAGAAGAAAUUAACAAAGAUUGCCUUAGUAAGGGCGACUGAACCGGCAAGAGCUCAAAAUUGGAAUCGAAAGUUCAAAGAAUUUUCGAAUUGUAAUCAGGUACACCUAAAUACGAGAAUUCGUUUAAGUACGUCGAAUCGUACGCCAUGGAGGGUGAAAGCCCCGUGUAGCGUGUUCUCGAGUAAGGUGCGCUCCACAAGAGUCGGGUUGCCUGGAACUGCAGCCCUAAGCGGGAGAUAUGAAUCUUCCAAAGCUAAAUAUGGAUGGGAGACCGAUAGCGAACAAGUACUGUGAAGGAAAGAUGAAAAGGACUUUGAAAAGAGAGUGAAAAGAUCUGAAAUCGUUGAGAAGGAAGCGGUAGAAACUGAUGGUCGAUAUGAUGGUUAUCGGGGUGAACAGCUCCGUAGUACCUAUCAAAGCGACGGGCAGAAUCAAGUAGAACGCACCAAAAAAGGCGCAAGCUGAAUAGGGUGUGAACUGCUUGAGGGACUAAUGUGAUUUUGCCAAAAUGGUUUCUACCGUCCCGUCUUGAAACACGG